UUGUAAAACGACAAUAAAAUUGAUCGUUUAUAUAUUACAUAAAUUGCCCCAACUCAACUACGAUUCAGCACAAGUUAGGGACUAAAUUUACAAGCAAACAAUGAUAUUUGAUGGCUUUGAAUGAAACAGAAAGCCACUAGGGAACAUCCAUCCCUAUUCAGUCAUAUAAAAAGGCCUAGCGGGUGCCAAUAAACCACCUCAGCAACGGCCAGCCAUAUUGGCCAACCUUCUUCUAUACCCUAACCCCAUCCCCUUCUCACAAACAGUUUUACAGUAUUAUAAUAGAAACAUAAAUAACAGUUGCUUCUCCUUGAAAAAAAAAA
rnacentral:misc_RNA from 1 species